rnacentral:rRNA from 1 species
GGACGAACCUCUGGUGCACCAGUUGUCAUACCAAUGGCAUGGCUGGGUAGCUAAGUUCGGAAGGGAUAACCACUGAAAGCAUCUAAGUGGGAAGCCUGCCUCAAGAUAAGAUUUCCCCGUCGCAAGACAUGAAGGACCCCGGAAGACCACCGGGUUGAUAGGUCAAUUGUGUAAGCACAGCAAUGUGUUAAGCUUAUUGAUACUAAUUGUCCGUUAGGCUCCCUUUU